UCAAUGAAAUUGAUCUCCCCGUGCAGAAGCGGGGAUAAUACCAUAAGACGAGAAGACCCUAUGGAGCUUUAGACGUCAGAGCAGCCCAUGUAAAGCACCCCUUAACAAAGGAAAAAACCAAAUGAAGCCUGCCCUAAUGUCUUUGGUUGGGGCGACCGCGGGGAAAUACAAAACCCCCAUGUGGAGUAGGAAUACACAUUCCUAAACCCAAGAGCUCCCGCUCUAAUGAACAGAAAUUCUGACCAAUAAGAUCCGGCACACGCCGAUCAACGGACCGAGUUACCCUAGGGAUAACAGCGCAAUCCCCUUAAAGAGCCCUUAUCGACAAGGGGGUUUACGACCUCGAUGUUGGAUCAGGACAUCCUAAUGGUGCAGCCGCUAUUAAGGGUUCGUUUGUUCAACGA
rnacentral:rRNA from 1 species